rnacentral:rRNA from 1 species
UACGUAGGCAGCAAGCGUUGUUCGGAGUUACUGGGCGUAAAGGGUGCGUAGGCGGCUUUUUAAGUUUGGUGUGAAAUCUCCCGGCUCAACUGGGAGGGUGCGCCGAAUACUGAGAGGCUAGAGUGUAGGAGAGGAAAGUGGAAUUCCUGGUGUAGCGGUGAAAUGCGUAGAUAUCAGGAGGAACACCGGUGGUGUAAACGGCUUUCUGGACCAUAACUGACGCUGAGGCACGAAAGCGUGGGUAGCAAACAGG